GAUGAACGCUGGCGGCGUGCCUAAUACAUGCAAGUCGAGCGAACAGACGAGGCGCUUGCUCCUCUGACGUUAGCGGCGGACGGGUGAGUAACACGUAGAUAACCUACCUAUAAGACUGGGAUAACUUCGGGAAACCGGCGCUAAUACCGGAUAAUAUAUUGAACCGCAUGGUUCAAUAGUGAAAGACGGCUUUGCUGUCACUUCUAGCUGGAUCCGCGCCGCAUUAGCUAGUUGGUACGGUAACGGCUUACCAAGGCAACGAUGCGUAGCCGACCUGAUAGGGUGAUCGGCCACACUGGAGCUGAGACACGGUCCAGACACCGACGGGAGGCAGCAGUAGGGAAGCGUGCGCAAUGGGCGAAAGCCUGACGGAGCAACGCCGCGUGAGUGAAGAAGGGCUGCGGAUCGUAAAACGCUGUUAUUAGGGAAGAACAAAUGUGUAAGUAACUAUGCGCGUCUGGACGGAACCUAAACAGAAGACCACGGCUAACUACGG
rnacentral:rRNA from 1 species